rnacentral:rRNA from 1 species
CCUACGGGAGGCAGCAGUGGGGAAUUUUGGACAAUGGGCGCAAGCCUGAUCCAGCCAUGCCGCGUGCGGGAAGAAGGCCUUCGGGUUGUAAACCGCUUUUGUCAGGGAAGAAAUCCUUUGGGUUAAUACCUCGGAGGGAUGACGGUACCUGAAGAAUAAGCACCGGCUAACUACGUGCCAGCAGCCGCGGUAAUACGUAGGGUGCGAGCGUUAAUCGGAAUUACUGGGCGUAAAGCGUGCGCAGGCGGUUAUGCAAGACAGAUGUGAAAUCCCCGGGCUCAACCUGGGAACUGCAUUUGUGACUGCAUAGCUAGAGUACGGUAGAGGGGGAUGGAAUUCCGCGUGUAGCAGUGAAAUGCGUAGAUAUGCGGAGGAACACCGAUGGCGAAGGCAAUCCCCUGGACCUGUACUGACGCUCAUGCACGAAAGCGUGGGGAGCAAACAGGAUUAGAUACCCUGGUAGUCCACGCCCUAAACGAUGUCAACUGGUUGUUGGACGGCUUGCUGUUCAGUACGAAGCUAACGCGNGAGUGACGCGNGGGAGGUAACGGUCGCGAGUUAGUAACGUUACGAAGAAGUUAGACGGCGNGAGAGNGCGACGGACGACGACGAGGGAGGAGG